rnacentral:rRNA from 1 species
GACGAACGCUGGCGGCGUGCCUAAUACAUGCAAGUUGAGCGCUGAAGGUUGGUAUUUGUCUCAACUGGGUGAGCAGCGAACGGGUGAGUAAUGCGUGGGGACUUGGCCGUUGAGCGGAGGACAACAUUUGGAGACGUAUGCUAAUACAGGAUAAAAACUUUAAACACAAGUUUUAUGUUUGAAAGAUGUAAUUGAAUCACUUAAAGAUGAUCACGAGUUGUAUUAGGUAGUUGGUGAGGUAAAGGCUCACCAAGGCGAUGAUACAUAGCCGACCUAGGGAGGUGAACGGCCACAAUGGGACUGGGACACGGGCCAAACGCCUACGGGAGGGAGCAGGAGGGAAUCUUUGGCAAUGGAGGGAAGUCUGAACGAGCAACUGCGCGUGAGUGAAGAAGGUUUUCGGAUCGUAAAACUCUGUUGGUAUAGAAGAACGUUGGUGAGAGUGGAAAGCUCAUCAAGUGACGUUAACUACCCAGAAAGGGACGGCUAACUACGUG